ACUCGUGGCAAUCCAAACUAUUUUCUAACCUAUGCAAAUGGAAAAUCUGCUGCUCGGAUUCAAGAUCAUCUUCGGCCCAAUGGUGCUCAUCGAUGGAACUACAAAUGAAGAACCCAAACGUCAUGGAACGACAAAUGCCCUGUCUCCUGAGGUUUUGAGCUUUUUCAUGUGUUCACGCAUUUUAGAUUUGUUGUGAGACUCACUUUUAUCUCUUGAUGAUUUGUUAUCUUCAACUUCUAUUUGCGGUUUAAUCCUCACUUCAGCUACAAUGCUUUUGAUGAA